ensembl:lncRNA
UUUUUUUUCCUUUUUUUUUUUUUUUUAUACCUUAAUGCUCUCCGGAAUAAAGCCCAAAGAAGUUCGCAUUUCGCGCGGUGCUAUUAAGGGAGAAGGAGCGAGAUCCUGAUUGCUUCUGCUCGUUGCGAUCACUUUGGAGGUGGGGGGGGGGGGGCGGGCGGGAAUUGAUUUUAGAUUUCUCUUUUAUGUCGGGUCUGGUUUCUGGUGAUUAAAUUUCUCUCUUAUGUGGACUGAACCUACGGAUAACUGAUUAAUAACAUGCCACUUGGCGCCAACACGGGGUCUCGAGGCCUUUAAUCGGCAAGAUGCACGAGAGAACAGAGAGAAACACAGAGCAGGACAAACUCCACCGGCUCUUUCAGCCCGCUGUUCUCUGCCUCGGCUGAGGGUUUUUUUUUUUUUUUUUUCAUCUAUUCAGUAUUUCCUGCUAAACUCGUAAACUUUAUUUGAUUUACAGCUAUUUCAUGAACCUGCUUAAACUAACAUGUGUUCCGUCUUGUCCAACUGAAUCAUAAAAAACAAUCUUGAAUCCAAACGAGAUUUUUUUUUUUUCCCUUAAAGAAACGAGUUAUUAAUGACAGAAAAUAGGCAUUGUCUCGAGCGACGCUGCUGCGGCCACGGGUGCGGGUGGGGGGGUUCGGAGUCCGGACCCGCAGGUAACGCCCGGCUCUCUGCUCGGAGUCGUUGGCACUGAGGUCGGAGCAGAUUAUUUUUCCCCGAAUAAAAGAAAAUAUUCGUCGGAAACGAAUGGUUUCCAAUCGCGUGAUGCCUAAAGUGUGCUCCCGAAGGCAGGAGAUCCGCUCCCGCAGCCCGCGACAGCGCAGCCGAGCAGGUAAACGUGCACGUCCGCCUCCCAGAGCAGACGGGCACGGAAUGAGCUCCGAGUGUUCUCUCGAAGCACGUUUUUCUGUGCACACAGCCACUGCUCCGUCCGGACCAAACGAGACAAGCACAUAUCCGUUUCGGUGCACGUGGAAAAGGUCUAAUUUUUACUGCGAUGUAGAGGUGCGCGUGCACGUGUCCUUGCGAGACAUUGGCUUCACCAAACCCUGUGCCAACCAGAGCGGCUCUUCGCACCCGGAUCCUCACCUCUGUGAGGAUGAAAGCUCUCGGGAUAUCUCCCAGUCCCGGCAGCAGAGUACGGUCCGGCCUCACCGUCUGCAGCCGCUGGUUCUGCCCGUCCCAAUCCCAGCUCCUCUCUGCGCUCACAGAUCUACAGAUUUACGCGUUUACCACGUUGGCCUCAUCCAACCUUUGCACAAAGGACGAGGGCAUGGACCGGGGGGAAAUGCUCUUUUUUGGUGAAAGCGAAUGCCCCCUUUCACCCAUUCUAUUUUUUUUUUUGCGCUUAACGUGAGCUGAAGAAAACAAACCAAACUUUUCAGGAGCCGCUUAGGUGAUAUGUAUAAUCUGUAUUUUCACCUUGAGCACAGCGAGUAUUUCUGGGAUGCCCGGGGCAGCCACACGGAGCCGGGUUACGGCCGUAGUACGAGACGCGGGGCUGUGAAUGGGGAUGAGAACGGGGCUGGGAAUUGAGUCUGGGAGUGGGGUUGGUAAUGGGGCUAGGAAAGGGUCCCGAAAUUUGUGAGGUUCGGUUAAGGUGAAGGAUGUGCUCACGACGGCUCUGCCAGCCUUGUCUGAGUUUUCGCUGUGCGGGGCGGGGGCGGGAGAAGGGGGGAAGAUGGAGGACGUGGGGAGAGG